rnacentral:rRNA from 1 species
GACGAACGCUGGCGGCGUGCUUAACACAUGCAAGUCGAACGGUGAAAGCGGAGCUUGCUCCGCUGGAUCAGUGGCGAACGGGUGAGUAACACGUGGGCAACCUGCCCCUCACUUCGGGAUAACUCCGGGAAACCGGGGCUAAUACCGGAUAUGACCUCCUUGGGCAUCCUUGGAGGUGGAAAGUGUUUCGGUGAGGGAUGGGCCCGCGGCCUAUCAGCUUGUUGGAGAGGUAGUGGCUCACCAAGGCGACGACGGGUAGCCGGCCUGAGAGGGCGACCGGCCACACUGGGACUGAGACACGGCCCAGACUCCUACGGGAGGCAGCAGUGGGGAAUAUUGCGCAAUGGGCGAAAGCCUGACGCAGCAACGCCGCGUGCGGGAUGACGGCCUUCGGGUUGUAAACCGCUUUCAGCAGGGAAGAAGCCGCAAGGUGACGGUACCUGCAGAAGAAGCACCGGCUAACUACGUGCCAGCCGCCGCGGUAA